rnacentral:rRNA from 1 species
UACGAAGGGGGCUAGCGUUGCUCGGAAUCACUGGGCGUAAAGCGCACGUAGGCGGAUUGUUAAAUCAGGGGUGAAAUCCUGGAGCUCAACUCCAGAACUGCCUUUGAUACUGGCGAUCUCGAGUCCGGGAGAGGUGAGUGGAACUGCGAGUGUAGAGGUGAAAUUCGUAGAUAUUCGCAAGAACACCAGUGGCGAAGGCGGCUCACUGGCCCGGUACUGACGCUGAGGUGCGAAAGCGUGGGGAGCAAACAGG